rnacentral:lncRNA from 1 species
GGCCACAAAGGACUCUUAAGAAAAUAGUUGCUCGGUUAAUUUACAAAAAGUCGUAACAACACGCGCCACUCAUAGGGCACCCUCCGGCCUGGCUACCAACACACACUAGACACAUUGUCAAGAGGAAGACCAUCGUCGAGGCAGUCCGCAAGAGUCAUGGUCAAGCCGGAAGCCGGAAGCACAUCACCUGUCUUAUAUAUUCAGCUAUGCUUGUUUUCCUUAACAUGUUGUACGUAAAUGAUUGUGACCUUGAUAAAUCUCUCUUAUAACACGAGAAAUAUAACACAAGACAUACUAAAAGACCAUCGUCGACGACAUAUGCUUGGGAGUGAGCUCCGCUGCUAUCCACAGCCUGGACAGUUCGGAGGCGGCAAACGUGGGCAACCGCCUGGGUUCUCUGCGAUGAUGUUCAAAGUACAUAUCAGGCCAUUUGGAACAGAGAGUACACUCGGCACGUAUUCCAGACAGAAAUAUGAACACAUGCAUGGGAACUUGAAGAGAAACGAAACAUGCAUGGGUACUUACGACGAGAAUCGCAGUUUGCAGGUGGACGUGGAACAAACCUUCCACCACGACCUGCAUGUCCACCGACGAUUAGCAGCAGUAACGUGAGGAUGGCAAGAAGCCGAGCAAGGAGGCGGCGACAGUUGGGUAGCAGCAUCUUCCCGGAUUCGCAGCGCUCUCCGUGUACGGCAGCCCGGCAAACCCAUACACAGAAAGGGAACGAUUCCAU